ACCUUGGUGGUGCAGUGGUAGUAGCACGUGUCCCCGGUAUAGAUGAAACGCGGGUUCAAUUCCCAGCUGAGGCC